rnacentral:rRNA from 1 species
GAUGAACGCUGGCGGCGUGCCUAAUACAUGCAAGUCGAGCGAACAGACGAGGAGCUUGCUCCUCUGACGUUAGCGGCGGACGGGUGAGUAACACGUGGAUAACCUACCUAUAAGACUGGGAUAACUUCGGGAAACCGGAGCUAAUACCGGAUAAUAUAUUGAACCGCAUGGUUCAAUAGUGAAAGACGGUUUUGCUGUCACUUAUAGAUGGGUCCGCGCCGCAUUAGCUAGUUGGUAAGGUAACGGCUUACCAAGGCAACGAUGCGUAGCCGACCUGAGAGUGGGACAGGAGACACUGGGACUGAGAGACGGACAAGACUGCUAAGGGAGGGAGGAGUGGCGAUUAUUGAGAAAUGGGAGGAAGGCUGAAGCAGAGAUGUCGGGUGGGGGAUGACGGCUUUCGGGUUGUAAACCUAUUUCGACGGGGACGAAGCGUACGUGACGGUACCGGGAGAAGAAGCAACGGCCAACUACGUG